UAGGGAAUCUUCGGCAAUGGACGAAAGUCUGACCGAGCAACGCCGCGUGAGUGAAGAAGGUUUUCGGAUCGUAAAACUCUGUUGUUAGUGAAGAACAAGGACGUUAGUAACUGAACGUCCCCUGACGGUAUCUAACCAGAAAGCCACGGCUAACUACGUGCCAGCAGCCGCGGUAAUACGUAGGUGGCAAGCGUUGUCCGGAUUUAUUGGGCGUAAAGCGAGCGCAGGCGGUUUCUUAAGUCUGAUGUGAAAGCCCCCGGCUCAACCGGGGAGGGUCAUUGGAAACUGGGAGACUUGAGUGCAGAAGAGGAGAGUGGAAUUCCAUGUGUAGCGGUGAAAUGCGUAGAUAUAUGGAGGAACACCAGUGGCGAAGGCGGCUCUCUGGUCUGUAACUGACGCUGAGGCUCGAAAGCGUGGGGAGCAAACAGG
rnacentral:rRNA from 1 species